rnacentral:rRNA from 1 species
GUGAUGAAUUUUCCGCAAUGGGCGAAAGCCUGACGGAGCAAUGCCGCGUGAAGGAUGAAGGCCUAUGGGUUGUAAACUUCUUUUCUCAGAAAAGAAUUAUGACGGUAUCUGAGGAAUAAGCAUCGGCUAACUCUGUGCCAGCAGCCGCGGUAAGACAGAGGAUGCAAGCGUUAUCCGGAAUGAUUGGGCGUAAAGCGUCUGUAGGUUGUUUAAAAAGUAUUCUGUCAAAGAUUAGGGCUUAACCCUAGAUAGGCAGAAUAAACUUUUAAGCUAGAGUUUGGUAGAGGCAGAGGGAAUUCCCGGUGGAGCGGUGAAAUGCGUAGAUAUCGGGAGGAACACCAAAGGCGAAGGCACUCUGCUGGGCCAAUACUAACACUGAGGCACGAAAGCGUGGGGAGCAAACAGGAUUAGAUACCCGUGUAGUCC